rnacentral:rRNA from 1 species
UACGAAGGGGGGCUAGCGUUGCUCGGAAUCACUGGGCGUAAAGCGCACGUAGGCGGACUCUUAAGUCGGUGGUGAAAUCCUGGAGCUCAACUCCAGAACUGCCUUCGAUACUGGGAGUCUCGAGUUCGGGAGAGGUGAGUGGAACUGCGAGUGUAGAGGUGAAAUUCGUAGAUAUUCGCAAGAACACCAGUGGCGAAGGCGGCUCACUGGCCCGAUACUGACGCUGAGGUGCGAAAGCGUGGGGAGCAAACAGG